UUGAUUUGUCUAAUAUGGGAGAAAGAGGCUUAAGGAUGGAUGUAGUGCAGAUUAUUUUAUAGGUAGGGCGGCAAACAGAAAUUUGAUUUAGUUUAAACCCAAAGGAUUGUAUUUUCUCUGUGGGUUUCAGCAGAGCCGUGGAAAUUGGCCCUGGACCCCUAGGGGAAUGGAAGAAGUGGCAGUUACAGGUCAGGGCCGAAAUCAUGGCAUAAUGGAAGAGCAGUUGAAAUUGGCUCCCACAAAUGGGAACAGGACCGGGAUCCAGUUUCUCAUCUGCUGCAAAAGGGGAACAGGACCGGGAUCCAGUUUCUCAUCUGCUGCAAAAGGAUUUCUUAUUUAUUCCAAAGGAUCACGUUGAGAUGGACCAGCCGGGAGCCCUUUUGGUUUAUAAGGAGAUUCCAUGCUUCUUCCCUACCCCCACCAUUUUACAU